rnacentral:rRNA from 1 species
GACGAGGGGUCCAAGCGUUGUUCGGAAUUAUUGGGUGUAAAGCGCGCGCAGGCGGUCUUCCAAGUCAGUGGUGAAAGCCCGGAGCUCAACUCCGGAACUGCCAUUGAAACUGUUGGACUUGAGUACGAGAGAGGUGAGUGGAAUUCCCAGUGUAGAGGUGAAAUUCGUAGAUAUUGGGAAGAACACCGGUGGCGAAGGCGGCUCACUGGCUCGUAACUGACGCUCAGGCGCGACAGCGUGGGGAUCAAACAGG